AUUCAACCUCUGGACAAGGUUCUCCCUGUGGCUGCAACCCUGUGCAACUGAAAUCACUCAGAGGACACAGUUGGGGAGCUCCUGAGCCUGGACAUUCCUUCCUCCUUAGACAUCUCUUCAGUGCAGAUAUCUCAAGCAAAACUAUGGAGCCUCAAAGACAGAGUUUGAAGCCAGCCCUGCUGUUGUCUUUGGAAACAUAUCACAUUUCUGAGGAGUAUGGCUUUCUCCUUCCACAUCCUCUGGCAGAACUUCCUGACCAUUACCAGCCCUGGAUGGAAAUUGCCAACGAACUUCCUCACUUAAUCGAGAGCCACCAGCUCCGGGCCCAUGUGUCCAAGAUGCCUCUCCUGGACUGCAGGUUCCUCAAGGGUUAUCGCCAGCAGCGCCUGGCACACCUGGUGCUGGCCGCCAUCACCAUGGGAUUCGUCUGGCAGGAAGGAGAGACCCAACCCCAAAAGGUGCUGCCAAGAACUCUUGCCAUUCCGUUUGUUGAGGUCUCCAGGAAUUUGGGGCUCCCUCCUAUCCUGGUCCACUCUGAUCUGGUACUGACAAACUGGACCAAGAGGAACCCUGAAGGACCAUUGGAGAUCAGUAACCUGGAGACCAUCAUCUCUUUCCCGGGGGGAGAGAGCCUGCAGGGCUUCGUCCUGGUGACAGUUCUGGUGGAGAAGGCAGCAGCGCCUGGCAUUAAGGCCCUGGUUCAGGGAGUGGAGGCCAUUCUGAGACACAGCCGGGAAACCCUGCUCCAGGCCCUGCAGCAGCUGAAGCUCUCCAUGCAGGAUAUCACCAGAACCUUGGCCCAAAUGCACGAUUGUGUAGACCCAGACAUAUUUUACUCGGUCAUCCGGAUCUUCCUCUCUGGGUGGAAGGACAACCCGGCCAUGCCUGAGGGGCUGGUCUAUGAGGGCGUUGCCACAGAGCCUCUGAGGUACUCCGGAGGAAGCGCAGCCCAGAGUUCUGCCCUUCAGGCUUUCGAUGAGUUCCUGGGCAUUCGGCAUUGUGAGAAAAAUGUAGGUUUUCUGCACAGAAUGAGAGACUACAUGCCUCCUUCCCAUAAGGCCUUCCUGGAGGACCUCCACUCGGCUCCUUCACUGAGGGACUACGUUCUGGCCUCUGGUGACGGGUGCUGCCUGAUAGCCUAUAACCAGUGUGUGGAUGCUCUGGCAGAGCUUCGUAGUUACCAUAUCAACGUGGUGGCCAGAUACGUCAUCUCCGCUGCUGCCAAGGCCAGGAGUAGGAUGCCGAGCCAUUUCUCACCCCAUGCCUUGGAGGACAGGGGCACUGGGGGCACCGCGGUGCUGAGCUUCCUGAAGAGUGUCAGGGAGAAGACCGUGGAGGCCAUCCUCCAUCCUAGGGCUUAGCAACUCACAUCCUGUGUCCUUGUGCUUAGCAUCAUGUCCUGUGUCCUUGUACUGAGGCCCUGUGGGAGCCAGAACCAGGCCAGAGCUCUGCCUGAACCCAAGAAUAGUUUUGCUCCAAAGAACAUCAUACCUUUUAUCCAUAAACUGUGGCUCCCACCCCCCACUCCCUCCCCCAGCCAGUUUGCUUGCUAGAAACCUUCCUGCCCUGCCCAGUUCCCCUGCCUCACAGCAGACAGCUACAACCAUCUCUUCAUUCAGUAUGCUGUGGGCAAGUCAGUGAUACCCAAGCUCAAUUUACAAAGAAUCAAGCUGCCUUUGGGCAUGUUGCUUUCUUUCCCUCAUUACCUUUUUUCCUCUACUUCCUUCUUCCCUUCUUCUCCCCCUCCACUUUCUUCUUCUAUUACCUCCUCUGUUUACUCCUCUUUUCCUCUUCUUCCCUCUCUGCUCAUCCCUUCUCUUUUUCCCUCCUUUUUGUCUUUGAAACAGGGUCUAACGGGCCUCAGACUGGCUUCCAACUUGAACCUGUGAUCCUCCUGCCUCAGCCUUCUAAGGUUAUGUGGAUGUCCACAUGUGUGCUGCCUGUUGUAAGGCUCUGCUCAUUUCCUUUGUUGAUUACACCAGGGCUUUUCAAUACCAGGCAGUUGUUCCACCAAUGAGCUACAGUGCCAACUCUCUGUGUUUCUCUGGGUUUGAAAGAAAAGCUUGAUGAGUUGAUUAGCCUGGCAGUGGGCUCUUUAGCCAGGCAGACCUUAGACUUUGAGUAGCUGGAAUGUAUAGGGAUGAGCCAAUGAGCCAAUGAGCCAAUGAGCCAAUGAGCCAAUGAGCCAUGCUGCUGCUGCUGAGGAUGAUGAUGAUGACAGCCAUGAUAAAGCAUCUUUAUCAUGGUGCCUCUUCCUCUUUGUUUCUUUUCGGUUUUUGUUUUGAGACAGGGUCUUACUACGUUUUAGCUCAGGUUGCCUUGAACUCAUGGCAAUCCUCCUACCUCAGCACCCUCAGGACCUGGAUUAUAAACAUGGGCCGCCACAGCUGGCUGUACAUCUGCUUAAUUCACUAAGUCCCUACUGUGCUCUUGUAUGGAGACUUGGGGGCGGGAUCAGCCUCUGUGACCUGGGACAGCCUUGCCCUCCCUGCUCACACUGAAUUCAGCAAUGGGUUUAGGUGCUUAGUGGAGAUUUGUGGGGUGAGGGUGCUGGCCAUACAAGCCUGGAAGUCACCCGCAUGAGAGCUAUCAGCUACCGAUUCGGAACCGAUGGGUCUUCCCCACAUGGUGUAGACAUAGCAAAUUCUAUUUUAAUUCUCUCUGCUCUAUUUUUAGGAGAAUGUUUUUCUUUCUCCUUAGUGACACUGGGAAUUUGUAUUUGAAAAAUGCUUUAAUUGACCCUCUGAAAGCAAGUGAACCAAAUCAGAAUAAAUACUUGCACCGCUUGUUCUGCUGGUGGACGUGUCAUUGAGCCUUUGGAGGCCACAAGUCCUUCGCUAUGGAAGAAGAAACGUCCUUAUUGAUGUAUGAAGCUGAGACAUGCUUUUGGCCUUCAUGCUUCUAAUCUGGACAUCGCAGCCAGUGGCUUGGUGCCCCGUGGAGAAUAAAUAUCUUCCUUUGAGGUUGUGGGGCUGCUGGGGACUUGCUGCCAGCCAUGUUGCCCAGCACGACGAGAGGAGACCCAACUGCCUGCUGCUAGGUAAGGGAAGACGAGCAUUCAGUAUGGUUUCUCCUGGCUGUGUGUUCUCACAUCACUGUGAAAACAGACAUCCCGGUGUCUUCAUGUGGAUGAAGGACCUAGGGGAGCUUACGACGAUGCUGUUCCCAAGAAUGCCCUCUUCACCCGGAAGACCGAGUCUGGGUUUUCUUGCCACUCAGAGACAAAAUGGAGCCACUGGCUGUAUCUCCACCUGUGGUGAAGAGGAGAGAUACGUGCUUGAACAAGCAGCACAGCGGACCAGACCUGGGGCUAUUCUCAAAAUCACAGAGACACCUGGCUAGUAACGAUAAAGACCUUUGACCCUGAGAAAAGAAUGUUAUCCAGGUGCCCUCUGGUAAUCCCAGCACUCAGGAGGCAGAAGCAGGAGGAUCAGGAGUUCAAGGCCGGCCUAGAAUACAUGCAACACUGUCUCAAGAAUUGGAACAGAGAGGAGAGUAGGAAAGGAGAAGAGGGAGGGGGAAGGAGAAAGAGAGAUGGGGGAAGGAAAGGGAGGGGAGAGAGGGUUUGCAGCCUAGGUUUGUUCUGAGCAGGAUUCUACUUUGUCCCUCAGUGUGGCAGGACUGAAAAAGUUUGUCCCGGUUUCUGGCUGCAGAGCAAGGUCCACUGAAAGAGACCACGGAGGUCUCUACAGAUUCUGUAAAUAUGGGUGCUGGGGAGGUCCGACGGGGCUGGACAAGGGGCGAGUGUCUUGCUCUGUAGGAGCCAGCCCAGUGUGCUUGUUUCUUGGAUCUGAUGGUCAAGGAGGACACUAAUGCAGAUGGGUGGAUGUUCCUUGUAAGGAACAGCAGGGAACCGUGAAGAGGUGAGUUCUUGGGGCAGUCAGGGUUACUUUCAGGCCCCCUGCAGUAGGGUGUGCAUUUGCAAAAGACAGAUUUACGACUGAGGACAGAAAGAUUGCCGAGUCAGCCCAGGGUUGGCUCCAGGACAGACACACUGAUCCAGGCUUGAGCUGUUGCCACGAGAAGAGUGAGGAGGCCGCUUCUGCAACCACAGCUGACUGUAGACUCUUGUACGCCUUGCCUUUUCACGCACUGCAGACUCCAUCCCCAUCCAGAUGGAACAGUACAUAUGAAGGACUUCUACAAGUGCCUCCCCCGGGAAAAUGCUUUCCAGACAAUACAUCGUCUUAUUGUCAGGGGCUCAGUGGAUGUGAAGCUGUGUGUUUCCUUCCUGUCUGAAGGAGCUUGAAUUGUUGAUUUUCAUAGAAAGCCUGCAGCCAGUUGGUCAUCAAAUUCAUUUUUUACGUACAGAUCCCUCCUUCAGUGGCUUUAUGAAUAGACACUAUAUGUUUUCUAGGUCUUGUGUUUGUCAAUCAGGAUUUUACAUAAAACUGAAACAAUACAAGAGUUAUUUGUAUAUGGAGAGAGAGAUGGGAGGGAGGGAUGGAGAGAUGGAGCAGAAAAGGAAGAGGGAGGGAGACGGAGACGGAGAGACAGGCAAGCCUGUGAGUCCAAAGCCUGCAGGAGUGCCCUGCAUCUGGAAGCCAGGGGAGGAUCUGAUGUUGCGUCUCCAGUUCAAAGGCCUUCCGGCGGACGAACUCCUGAGCCCUUUCUACUUCAGCGGUCACUCUCUGCUCUCUAAGACCGUCCCUGAUUGAAAGAGGCCACCCACACUAGGGAAGGUAAUUUGCUUUCCUCAGCGCCCAUCACUUUCAACACUAAUCUCAUCCCAACAGAACCCAGAAGCACAGACACAGGAGAAUGCUAAGCCAGAUACUUACCCAGCGAAUCUGCCCUGAGGAGGGCGGAAGAGGGCAACUUAAGGCAUCAGGUAUGUGAGUUUCAAACUAAUGGCGAGGGGUUAAGGCCAGGCCUGAGUGUGUGCGUGCGUGUGUGUGUGUCUGUUCACUGAGCUCUCUCAGGAAGGUCUGUGCGUGGGCUGAGUGGAAGCCCUUGACGGAAAGCUACGGAACAUUACUAAGGCAAACACGGUGCUGCUGACUCACGUGGAAUUGGAAAACUUACUGAUGUAAAUUUUUGGUGUUUGUUUGCAUCUAUGCCUGUGUGCCUGGCUGUCUGUGUGUGAGUCAUGUGAUGGCAGGUGACCACAGAGGCCUGGGAGAGAACAUCAGAUCCCCUGGAGGCAGCGUUGGUCGUGGACCACCCGAUGAGGGGGCUGGGGACCACACUUGGGGCUUCUGCAAGAGCAGCAAGUGCUCUUAAUUGCUGAGCCAUCUCUCCAACCCUUCCCCCAUGACCUUUUUGACUUUUCUUUUUUUAAACAUCAAGACACGCUAGCUAGGCACAUGCUGAGCUGCAUCCCAGCCCUGAGCAUGCCGUCUCCUAACAAAUGUAUAAACGUUGUGUUCUGAGAAUGCCGGCGAAGGGUGAACCCUCCCUUCCCUGUGGAGACAGGACUAGGCCUCGAAGGUCAAACUGCGUGCACAAGACCCUGUAAGCCCAAGUUGCUCCUGUCAUUAAUACAGGAGGCAGGAAGACACUGGUUCCUUAAAAGGUUGUGUCCAUGUACAGCUAGAGUUAGUUUGGGCUAUUUUUUAAGAAACGUAGUAAAGACUCGAUAUGAUUUUAAUAGCCGAACAGCAGAACCAUUAAAGCAAUAAAGCCAGGUCGCAAUGGUGGUGCUCAGCAGCUCUGGACUGCCUUGACUCCCUCGCUAGCUCUGGGCCGCAGUGCAAGAGGGACACAGCUCUCUCAGCUUUCAAAGCGCACAGCCAGGGCAUCGGGUAUGAAUUCCGUGGAAGGAGUCUUCUCUGGUUCCUUUGAAAAUUGUCAUUCGUUGUUUCCAAGUAAGUGCUGAAGUAAAGCCACGCCAAAAGAAAAAGGGGAGAGAGAAGAGAAGAAAGAAAGGAUAAGGUAGGAUGGGAGGAAGGAAGGAAGGAGCAAGGAAAAAAGAAGAAAAAGGGAGAGGGCAUUUCAGAUUAUAUUCCAGAUCGGAUUCAGUUUUCAGAUCUGAGAUAAACCCCUUCAGUACCUGCUAGUCAGUUAUUGCUCACGCACAGAUGUGGUGUUUGCCCAGCUAAUGGGGGAGGUGCUUGUCGCUCCCCGAGCUCACUUAACAGUAAACUUAAUAAAGAAGUCGGAUUUUAACUGCUUUCUGAGACUCACUUGCCGGUUCGUGCCUGCAGUUCAGCAUCUGCUUCCUGGGAACGUUAAAACCGAUUUCUUGAGUGUAAGCAUCAUCAAAAAAAUAAAUGAUUUUUUUUUUUUUUGCCAAGUCAUUUGCUUUAUAAACUCACAGAUCGUUUGGGGCCCCGUGCUUCUGUGGCAGCCGCAGGGCGAGCACGCCAACCCUAUGGCACCUUUAAUCACCCAAAUGGCUUCGUUUUCUCUUAGGGAUUGGUACCUGUGGGCCACCUUCCUGUGCGCUGUAGGAAAGCAUUUUCGGAGCCCGAACCACCUCUCUGCUUCCUGAGUUGCUCUCCUCUCACUGGGCCACACUGUUCCUUAACUGUGACGUGUGUGUUGAAUUUACAUGCUGGCAGCAGGGCACUGUGGCACUCGCCUUUAAUCCCAGCACUCAAGGAGGCAGAGGCAGGUGGAUUUCUGUGAGUUCGAGGCCAGCCUGGUCUACAAAGUGAGUCCAGGACAGCCAAGGCUACAUAGAGAGAAACUCUGUUUGGGGGGAAGAAUUUAUAUGCCACUCUGACCCCAAGCUAAUCCAACAUUAGAACUGGGGAUGGCUAUUGAUUGUGCCCGGAGUCUUGGGUCAAAGUCUUUCCCUAAGAACACUCCAACAUUUUAGAGCCAUUCAUGUACUCAAGCCUUUCUAGCCCAAAGAUUCCAAAAUUAGUUACUAAUUAUGCACAUACGUGUUAUCUUAUCAUCUUAUAUUAUUUCUAACACACAAACACUUUAAUUCAAAUCUCAUCUGUCAAUUAAUGCCAAGAGUAGUGAUUAAUAGCGUGACUAAUCAAACAUGCAAAUAAAAUACGUACACACA